rnacentral:rRNA from 1 species
GACGUAGGGGGCAAGCGUUGUUCGGAAUUAUUGGGUUUAAAGGGUCCGUAGGCGGAUCUGUAAGUCAGUGGUGAAAUCUCACAGCUUAACUGUGAAACUGCCAUUGAUACUGCAGGUCUUGAGUGUUAUUGAAGUAGCUGGAAUAAGUAGUGUAGCGGUGAAAUGCAUAGAUAUUACUUAGAACACCAAUUGCGAAGGCAGGUUACUAAGCAACAACUGACGCUGAUGGACGAAAGCGUGGGGAGCGAACAGG